AACGAACGCUGACGGUAUGCCUAAUACAUGCAAGUCGAACGAGAAAGUUCCGCAAGGAGCGAGUAAAGUGGCGCACGGGUGAGUAACACGUGGGUGACCUUCCCUUUAGACUGGGAUAACUCUGAGAAAUCGGGGCUAAUACCGGGUGAGAACGACGAAUUUGAAAAUAGUUGUUGAAAUGGGUGCCUCUAUUCAUAAGCACUCGCUAAAAGAUGGGCCUGCGGGGUAUUAGCUAGUUGGUAAGGUAAUGGCUUACCAAGGCAUCGAUACCUAGCUGAUCUGAGACGAUGAUCAGCCACACUGGAACUGAGACACGGUCCAGACUCCUACGGGAGGCAGCAGUAGGGAAUAUUGCGCAAUGGGCGAAAGCCUGACGCAGCAAUACCGCGUGAGUGAGGAAGGCCUUCGGGUUGUAAAGCUCUGUCGGAGUGGAAAAAUGGCGUAUGGUCUAAUAGGCCGUACGAUUGAUGGUACACUCAAAGGAAGCACCGGCUAACUUCGUGCCAGCCGCCGCGGUAA
rnacentral:rRNA from 1 species